UACGAAGGGGGCUAGCGUUGCUCGGAAUCACUGGGCGUAAAGCGCACGUAGGCGGCUUUCUAAGUCAGGGGUGAAAUCCUGGAGCUCAACUCCAGAACUGCCUUCGAUACUGGAGAGCUUGAGUCCGGAAGAGGUGAGUGGAACUCCGAGUGUAGAGGUGAAAUUCGUAGAUAUUCGGAAGAACACCAGUGGCGAAGGCGGCUCACUGGUCCGGUACUGACGCUGAGGUGCGAAAGCGUAGGUAGCGAACAGG
rnacentral:rRNA from 1 species